GAUGAACGCUAGCGGAAGGCUUAAUACAUGCAAGUCGAGGGGUAGCAAGAUUGUAGCAAUACAAUUGUUGACGACCGGCAAACGGGUGCGGAACACGUACACAACCUUCCUACAAGUGGGGAAUAGCCCAGAGAAAUUUGGAUUAAUACCCCGUAACAUAGCGAUGUGGCAUCACAUUGCUAUUAUAGCUUCGGCGCUUGUUGAUGGGUGUGCGGCUGAUUAGAUAGUUGGCGGGGUAACGGCCCACCAAGUCUACGAUCAGUAGCUGAUGUGAGAGCAUUAUCAGCCACACGGGCACUGAGACACGGGCCCGACUCCUACGGGAGGCAGCAGUAAGGAAUAUUGGACAAUGGACGCAAGUCUGAUCCAGCCGUGCCGCGUGAAGGAUUAAGGUCCUCUGGAUUGUAAACUUCUUUUAUAAGGGACGAAAAAAGGUCUUUCUAGAUCGUCUGACGGUACCUUAUGAAUAAGCACCGGCUAACUCCGUGCCAGCCGCCGCAGUAAUAC
rnacentral:rRNA from 1 species